UGUCUAUUAAAAAACGGCGCUUGGUUA
rnacentral:sRNA from 1 species